GACGAACGCUGGCGGCGUGCUUAACACAUGCAAGUCGAACGGACGAUCAGGGCUUGCCUUGAUCGUUAGUGGCGGACGGCUGAGUAACGCGUAGGUGACCUGCCCCGAAGUGGGGAAUAACUGCCCGAAAGGGUGGCUAAUACCGCAUGUGCCGGUGAGUUCAUUCGCACCAGCAAAGCCGCAAGGCGGUUCGGGAGGGGCCUGCGUCCGAUUAGCUUGUUGGUGGGGUAACGGCUCACCAAGGAGACGAGCGGUAGGUGGUCUGAGAGGACGAUCGCCCAGACUGGGACUGAGACACGGCCCAGACUCAUACGGGAGGCAGCAGUCGGGAAUUUUGCGCAAUGGGCGAAAGCCUGACGCAGCAACGCCGCGUGAGGGAUGAAGGCAUUCGGGUUGUAAACCUCUUUUCUCAGGGACGAUAGUGACGGUACCUGAGGAAUAAGCCACGGCUAACUACGUGCCAGCCGCCGCAGUAAGAC
rnacentral:rRNA from 1 species